rnacentral:rRNA from 1 species
AUUGAACGCUGGCGGCAUGCUUUACACAUGCCAGUCGAACGGUAACAGGCCUUCGGGUGCUGACGAGUGGCGCACGGGUGAGUAAUGCAUCGGAACGUGCCCAGAGGUGGGGGAUAACGCAGCGAAAGCUGUGCUAAUACCGCAUGUGAUCUGAGGAUGGAAGCGGGGGACCAGGCAGCAAUGUUUGGCCUCGCGCCUUUGGAGCGGCCGAUGUCAGAUUAGGUAGUUGGUGGGGUAAAGGCCUACCAAGCCGACGAUCUGUAGCUGGUCUGAGAGGACGACCAGCCACACUGGGACUGAGACACGGCCCAGACUCCUACGGGAGGCAGCAGUGGGGAAUUUUGGACAAUGGGCGCAAGCCUGAUCCAGCAAUGCCGCGUGCGGGAAGAAGGCCUUCGGGUUGUAAACCGCUUUUGUACGGAACGAAAAGGCUCUGGCUAAUACCUGGGGCUGAUGACGGUACCGUAAGAAUAAGCACCGGCUAACUACGUG